CCCGCAGCGGGGGGGGCGGGGGGCCCGGCGCCCCAAAGGCGGGCAUGCGCCGACCCCCCACCACCCGGUGGCCAGCCCCCAGCCUCGACCGCGGCGCAGGCACCAAAGCGCCCCGCCCAGCGCCAGCUGCACGCCGCCCUUUAUUUUUACCACGGCAACGCCCCACCACGCCAUUGAUUCGAGGCCAUAGCUUGGCAAGCUUUCCGGCCUCGACGCAACGUGCUCAACCGAAUCGAAUUUCGACCCCAUUCACUACGCGGAGACCUACCCCAAGAGCAAGGGUAUCGGCUGUGUUCUGGUGUAUGGCCACAGAAACCACAAGGCACACAUUUGAGUCAUUCCACAAGGGGCCAACGGUGAGAUGCAGGUCGGCAUUGUACCCCUGGGCACACAGAAGUGGUGUCCAUCGACAGACAGAAGUAGGACGCAAACUUGUUCAUCAUGCAGGAUGACAAGGUCUUCGGGCGUGACGGAACCGGUAUGAAGGGCUUCGUCGCGGUUGCUGUGUCGCUCACCUCAGUGUUUCUGAAAAUGAAGCGUAUGGAGUCGGUCCGCUACGCCUUCUCCUCCGACGAGGAAGUCGACUGCAUUGGUGUCCCAUAUCUCAUCUCGCACCUCAAGGAGCACGGCAUUAUGGCAGGCGGCUGCAUCACAGAAAAGGUGCGGCUCGCAUGGCUGUGUGCACUGCGAACACGGGUUUUGCUUCACGGAAGGUUGAGGUAGAGGGUAAGGUGAUUCGCUCCUCUUUGGUGGCAGGCAAGAGCUGCAACACCAUCGAGUACACGGCUUCGAUCAUUCCCAAGAUCCGUUAGGUGGUGCUUGGGCUCCGCGAGCGGGUCGGGGUGCACGCUAGCCCGCGCCGCUGCAGCGCCGGUCGACUCCCCACAGUUGCCCCCUCAUGCCUACCGGUAUGAUUGAGCGUGGCAGCGCCGCAAGCACGGUCCCGGCAGUGCGCAACUUCGUCCUCCGCGUUUGCUUCACCUACUUCGUCGUGGCCACGAAGACACAUUGAUCACCGAAAUUAGCAACGCUGUACUCCCGAAGAUGCGGCAGAAGCGCCUGGACGCCACGGUAGAGCUUUUGAACACGGUGCUUAUCGAAGCCCUCAACGGCAACAAGGAGGCCGCAUUCACGACGGGUGUGCGAUGCCUCUGCAAGGUUAAGAUUGUAUGGAAGAAGAGCGACAGCAUUGACUCGGGCCUCUUCCAGGAGUGCCUCGAGACUCCCUUAGCGAUUGUGACACCAAGGUCGAUCCAAGUGGGGCACACAGCAAGCAAGUAUGUGCAUGUGGUCGUGAUGGAGCAUUGCUGGAUUGUAAGCAGGCCAUGACUCCGUGUGGGGGGGUAGGGGUUUGUCUCUCUUUGUUCUUUUCAGCAUUGCAAGCGCCUCGUACUUGUGCCGCUAAGCUCGUGGGACAUGCAGAUGACGUGCUCUGCGGGUCUUCGCAGCGUUCGAUGUUUGUAUUCUCUCACCUCAACCUUCUGCUCUUCAUUGAUCAAGGGAAGGAGGCGCAGCGUGUCUAAUAUCCACCUUCUCUUCUACUUUUGUUCUUACUCCUGCUCUUGAGGAACUGCGCGCACCCACGUUGUACGCUUUCUCUCUCUUGGUUUUCCUUCCCUUGCUCCUUCCCAGUGACUCUCGCUCUUCCCUGAUAACCUUUCGGCCAUACGAUCACGAUCCUUGCGCCACUCUAACAAUGGCACUGCUUACGCAUGUAUUGACAAAGAUAGCAUGCAAAUCCAAACACACACACACACACAGGAUAGGCUGCAAGCCACGUGCAUGCAGCCUGGGUGCCCAUGCUGCAGCCGCGGUCCGUGGUAGCCAGCUGCUUUAUCGUGAAAGAGGAUCUCCG